rnacentral:tRNA from 1 species
AAGAAAGUCGUAAAGGUUACGUAGUUGGCUUGAAACCAGUUAUAGGGGGUUCAAUUCCUUCCUUUCUUG